CCUAUGAAUUUAGAAGAAAAUGCUGAAAACUUCGAUGAACCCAAAAAAUUGUCCGUGUUUUUCACGAGCAUGUACUUCAACUCGUCUGUAGCUGAUUGCACAUCAGGAAUCCUCAAUUGCUCCUACCACAAUCUGCUCUCCGAGGAUGUAAUUGGUGAGGACAAGAAGGCUAAGGGUAUGAUUCAUAAUAUUUUCAAAGUUCAGUGCACCGUCAUCGGGUCA